rnacentral:lncRNA from 1 species
CACUAGUUGUAAAUACUUGAGCUCCCUACCCUCUCUAUCAUGGGGAUUUGUUUACAUGUCAGCACUAAACUGAAGAGUCUUGAGGGCCAGGAACUGGGUCAAAUUCUUCUCUCUGUCCUUAGCCCCUGCCCAGCCUCGAGCCUGGUAGGCGCCCAGUAAAUUAUUGCUGAAUGAAUGAGCAAAUGACUAAAAAUACAUGUGCUUUUGUGGAACCAGUAUGGCCUGGUAGCUGCUCUUUGGAGGAGUGUGCUGUAUGUCAGAUGGUCCGUGGCAUCCUCCCUGCAAGACCAGACUCUUGCCAGGGCCAGGCUUCCCAUGCCAGAUAAUGAGACAGGAUACUGGCAGUUCUUACUGCCCGGGACACUGGCCCAUCCUUGGGUAACUCUGGCUUGGCAUGGUGGAAUGGAAGCCCUGGGUCUUCCCGAAAGCUAUCCUAGCCUCUGCCAAAAUGGGAGAUCAAAAAUAACCAAAGCUUGUUUUUAUGCCUCUGCUGAGUGGGCGCAUGACAUGCCUUUCCAAGCAAACCAAAUUCCUCUGACUUCCAAUUGUGGGACUGUGAGUUUAAGGAGAAGCACUGGCCCCUAUUAUGCCUCAGCUACAGGACAAUGCUAUCUUCCCGAAGGAUUCAUGAUUUCUGCAGGAGCUUGGUAUAGGAUAUGUGUGGUUUUCUUGUGUGCAGUAUGACACCUGGGAAAGGAGAUACCCUUAGAAAAUUAAAAAGUACUGUUCUGUUCCCUAUCCACCCAUGGGGCUAUAUUUAUUUGGUCAGUUCAGUUGUGUUUUUUUGAAUCUAUGAACCAAGUUCCAAGAGGGAUAACACAUAUGGUGCGCCUAUCCAGACAAAGCUCAACAUGCCAGGGAACAGAAGAUUUGAAAAGUAUGUUGGCAACUACUUUAUUCUACUUAGGGUAGUUGCCUAAGAUCUCCCAUCCAUCCUUCCUUCUUCCCUUCUUCCCUGCCUCCCUCCUCUCUCUUCAGAAUAGAGUAUAUGUCUAACAACAUCAUAUGCCUGACACUGUCUUUUCUUCCUUGCCUUGGUGGUUCCUGACUGUGGACUUCACCCUCAUUCCUUGUUCGCCGUCUUCCCUUCGAACUGAGUGAUGAUGUGGGAGAUGGUUCUGCCACGAGGAUUCAUCUCAGUUCUCACCAUCCAUCCUCUUCAUCUCAACUCAGGUCCCCUGACACAGAACCUUCAGAGUCUUGGUUACCUGAUCCAGCUUCUGUGACCAAAAAUGGCAGCCGUACUGUGACAGUCUUACUGGGAGGACUUCUCAACCAAUAUGGUGUUCCAAAGUUGGGGAAGAUGGCAGCCACCGAGGCAACUCUACCCCAGGUCAUCACAGGUAGGUUGCACCCACUUUGCUUCUAACAGGUUAGACACAGCCACCCCCACACAUGUCCAGCAUGCUUUGGAGGCACGGUGAUGGGCUUUUAAUCAGCCAACCCCUGCUAUAGGACUGUCUAUUGUAGAGAACACCCACUGUGUCAGAUGGUACCUAGAUCCAUGCUAUUCACACACACCCACAUCCUUGUAAUAAGAGACUUGGAAUCAGCAGUGUUCUAGCAGUAGGAAAGCAAACCUGAAAUUGGCACACACAUUUGCCCAGUGAGCUUUAAGAUAUGAAAUCUGGAGCGGGGCAGUGGUGGCGCACGCCUUUAAUCCCAGCACUUGGGAGGCAGAGGCAGGUGGAUUUCUGAGUUCGAGGCCAGCUUGGUCUACAGAAUGAGUUCCAGGACAGCCAGGGCUAUACAGAGAAACCCUGUCUCGAAAAAAACCAAACCAACCAACCAACCAAACAAACAAACAAAUAAACAAAAGAUGU